rnacentral:rRNA from 1 species
UUGACGGGGCCCGCACAAGCGGUGGAGCAUGUGGUUUAAUUCGACGCAACGCGAAGAACCUUACCAGGGCUUGACAUCCCCUGACCGCGUAUGAAAGUACGUUUUCACCCUCGGGUGACAGGGAGACAGGUGGUGCAUGGUUGUCGUCAGCUCGUGUCGUGAGAUGUUGGGUUAAGUCCCGCAACGAGCGCAACCCCUACGUUUAGUUGCUAACGCGUGAAGGCGAGCACUCUAGACGAACUGCCGUUGACAAAACGGAGGAAGGUGGGGAUGACGUCAAAUCAUCAUGCCCCUUAUGUUCUGGGCUACACACGUGCUACAAUGGCCGGUACAGACGGACGCAAAGCCGCGAGGUGGAGCAAAUCCUAAAAAGCCGGUCUCAGUUCGGAUUGCAGGCUGCAAUUCGCCUGCAUGAAGUCGGAAUCGCUAGUAAUCGCGGAUCAGCACGCCGCGGUGAAUACGUUCCCGGGCCUU